CGUUCUAUGGCCGAACUGGUGAAGGCAUCGCCAAUCAUGGGCAAAGAUGCGGGUUAGAAUCCCGCUGGAACGG
rnacentral:tRNA from 1 species